rnacentral:rRNA from 1 species
UACGAAGGGGGCUAGCGUUGCUCGGAUUGACUGGGCGUAAAGGGCGCGUAGGCGGUUCGUACAGUCAGACGUGAAAUUCCUGGGCUCAACCUGGGGGCUGCGUUUGAUACGUGCGGACUUGAGUGCGGAAGAGGGAUGUGGAAUUCCAGGUGUAGCGGUGAAAUGCGUAGAUAUCGGAAGGAACGCCGGUGGCGAAAGCGGCGUGCUGGACCUCUUCUGACGCUGAGGCGCGAAAGCCAGGGGAGCGGAACGG